rnacentral:rRNA from 1 species
AUGAAGGCAAGAGAGGAAUUGACAACGAAGACAUUGGAGACGAAGCUUCUUAUCACCGAGAAGAAGAAAGAGGUCAAGCUUGCACAAGUUGAAGCAAAGCGUGAAGAAGCAAAGCGCAAGGCCGAGUUGGAGGAGAGGAUGAUCAAGCUCAAAGAGGCAAAGGUAUGGAAAGAACUCAUGGUGGAAGAGAAAGAGCACAUGAUGAUGUCCAAGAAGGACAUGGAUCAAGACCAAUUGCAAUGGUGGAAGGACUACAAGGAGGACAUCACGGAGAGGAAGAGGAUGUUCCGUGUUGCUUCCUCUACUUUUCGAGGUGACACUCCGAUGAGUAGUUGUGGUGAUGGCGGUGUGUACGACUCCACCGGUGCCGAUGGAGAUGCUUGA